rnacentral:rRNA from 1 species
AGAGUUUGAUCCUGGCUCAGAACGAACGCUGGCGGCGUGGAUUAGGCAUGCAAGUCGUGCGAGAAAGGGGUGGCAACACCCCGAGUACAGCGGCGAACUGGUGAGUAACAGGUGGGUAAUGUGCCCUGAAGUGGGGGAUAACACCGGGAAACCGGUGCUAAUACCACAUGUGACUUUCGGAAUCAUGGUUCUGGAAGUUAAAGCAGUAGUGCGCUUCAGGAUCGGCCCGCCCCCGAUUAGCUAGUUGGUGAGGUCAAAGCUCACCAAGGCGACGAUCGGUAGCUGGUCUGAGAGGAUGGUCAGCCACACUGGAACUGAGAUACGGUCCAGACUCCUACGGGGGGCAGCAGUCUAGAGGCUUCGGCAAUGGGGGCAACCCUGACCGAGCGACGCCGCGUGUGGGAUUGAAGGCCUUCGGGUCGUAAACCACUGUCAUUGGGGAAGAAUGCCUGGAUGGCGAAUCCAGGAGGGACGGUACCCAAGGAGGAAGCCCCGGCUAACUCCGUGCCAGCAGCCGCGGUAAUACGGAGGGGGCAAGCGUUGUUCGGAUUUACUGGGCGUAAAGGGUGUGUAGGCGGCUGGGCAAGUCUGGUGUGAAAUCUUCACCGCUUAACGGGAAGAGGUCACUGGAAACUGCCUAGCUCGAGUAUGGUAGAGGCAAGCGGAAUUCCUGGUGUAGCGGUGGAAUGUGUAGAUAUCAGGAAGAACACCGGUGGCGAAGGCGGCUUGCUGGGCCAUCACUGACGCUGAGACACGAAAGCGUGGGGAGCAAACGUGGAUUAGAUACCCCGGUAGUCCACGCUGUAAACGGUGCGCACUAGGUGUUGAGGGGGUAUCGACCCCCCCUUGUGCCCGAAAGCAAAACGCAUUUAAGUGCGGCCGCCUGGGGGAGUACGGCCGCAAGGGUGUGAAACUUCAAAGGGAAUUGAC